GUUCAGAUAGAUUUAGCUGGUGGUGCAGAGAUCCGUGAGCUUGCUUUUACAGGACUUUAAUGAUAUAUAAAAGCAGCACGAGGUGCUCCUGACUGUGGAUUAAUUUGGAGAUGACUUUCUCUGUUGAAGAGUAGCAAGACUCUCGCGAGUUCUUAAAAAUGCACUUGUUUGGUAUGAGAAUGAAAAGCAGUGGCUGAAGAACCAAUCUUCAAUGGGCAAGCCUUCUCUGUGUCUGUUCUAACACGUGCCAUUUGGGAUCCCUUGGAAUCUUCAUGUACAGAACUGGUUGCUGCCUCGUUGAGUCGGUGGGGACAGAAUAGCUCCUGGUUGACAGCAUGGGUUGUGCAGAAGGACGGAUCCUGCAGACAUCAAUAUCUGGCUUUGAGUGGCACAAAGAAAUAAAGGAAUGUGGAUUCAGACCUCACUGGGAUGCUUGGCAAUUCUAAUUCUACCCCAGACUGCAAAUGGACACACAACUGUUGUGACUUUUGUUGAAGAGGAGAAGGAUGGAAGCUGGAUUCAGAAGCACACAGGUCUGGGGAUGCAGGCUUCGGCCAGCCUGAUGCAAGGAAAGACUGCCAUCUCGUGGUCAGCUCAAUCCUGGCACCUUGGUGAGGGACCAGGCUGCAGAAAACCAGGCUUGGGGAGGAAACGGUGCUGCAAACUGGAUUUCUGCCGGACAGUGUGGAUGCCCUUAGAAAACACCCAGAAAAGAGCUGAGUGCCCCCCAAGACUUGCCCUGAAUUCUUUCAUGUGCAAUAUCCGAAAACCCUCUCUUGGGGCCUGGAUCAGGACCCCUUUCCUAUAACAUCUUUCUGGCGACAACAAAGGGACAAUGGUGUGGAAUCCCCCUUCCCAAAUGCUACUUUUAGAUAUCACCUUUUGUCGGAACUUGGAGUUGGUAAUGACCUUCACCAUACCACCACUCUGGGACUGAGCUUCUCUCUACCCUGAUGCAAGAGACCCUAAUAGGCAGGAAUAUGACCACCCCUAUUCAGCCUGAAGAAGUUACAGAAGUUCUGAAACCCUUAGAAAUGAGGGUCUUCUUGUAAAGGGAGUGGGGAGAUAUAUCAGAGGCAUUUGAACCAGAGCAACUCCAUCUUGAGUGAGGGCUAGGAAAAUGAGGCUAGGACUUGCUGGGCUGCAUUCUCAGAAAGUCAGUCAUUCCUAGCCUCUAGAUGUUUACGGUUAAGGGAACAAAUUUAUAACAUUUACUAAACACACCCAGACUUGGGAGUGUCCAGAUAUCCCAAUAUCUGGAGAACAAAGGCAUUCCUAAUUUUGCUUUAAAGACAAUAAUAUUGAUUCUUGCAAAAUAUAGUAAUUAAGAAAAUUAAUCCUUUAUCACAAACCCUUGUAGUAAAACACAUCUCCCCAUAUAUACAAGCAUUGUACCUAAGGUGGAUGCGUUCCAUCUCUUACUUUCAGGAAUGUCCUACACUAUCUAAGGAGUAGCUGUACUUUCACCACUUUACUUUCUUAAUAAACUUGUUUUUACUUUGCA
rnacentral:lncRNA from 1 species